rnacentral:rRNA from 2 species
CGCCUGUUUAACAAAAACAUGUCUUUUUGAUUAUAAUUUAAAGUCUAACCUGCCCAAUGAGGAGUUAAAUGGCCGCGGUAACCUGACCGUGCAAAGGUAGCAUAAUCAUUAGUUUUUUAAUUGAAAGCUGGUAUGAACGGUUGGACGAGGGAGUGACUGUCUCGGCUUAAUUUUAUUAGAACUUUAUUUUUAAGUUAGAAAGCUUAAAUGAUUUUAAAAGACGAGAAGACCCUAUAGAGUUUUAUAGUUAUUAUAUUAGAAGCUAUAUAGUAUAUAUUGGUUAGAUAGUAUAAUAAGUAUUUUGUUGGGGCGACAGAAAAAUUGAAGGAACUUUUUUUAUAUCAAACCAUUAAUUUAUGAGUUAGUGAUCCGUUGGUAGAACGAUUAUAAGAUUAAAUUACCUUAGGGAUAACAGCGUAAUUUUCUUUAAGAGUUCAAAUCGAAAGGAGAGUUUGCGACCUCGAUGUUGGAUUAAAGUUUACUUUUGGUGCAGAAGCUAAAGGGUUAGGUCUGUUCGACCUUUAAAACUUUACAUGAUCUGAGUUCAAACCGGAG